rnacentral:misc_RNA from 1 species
GAAGAUAGAAGAUGCGCAUUCAGCCGUGGAAUCAGAGGAUUUAUCGUCUGCUAAAGAGGCUAUUAUUCAAGCCAGAGACAUGUUGAAGCACCGACAAAAAUUAGUGCUUCUGGCCGAUACGUCGGAUUUGGGUUGGAGAUUGGUCAGCGAAUACGAGGCAAAUCCCAUCGCUAGCGAUAGCGACGACGAAAAACGUAUUUAUAAGGCGGAGGCUCGUGCCAGUAGGAAGGCUAAGGCAGACAAGACCAAAAAACCCAGAAAAAACAACUGGCCAUACAAGCGUCCAGAGGCAUCGGGAUCUGCGCAGGCGUCACAGGGCAUCAGACAGCGUCCCGGAUUGUGUUUUUCCUGUGGAAAGGCGGGUCACUGGAAAAAUGAAUGUACACAGAACAGUUCUUACCAGAACAAUAAGUACUGGCUUGAGGCAAACACUAAAAAGAAAGUUUGACGAGGCUGGCGUUCAGAUAAAUAACGAAGAACAAUGUAUAGACAGAAUGGCUACACAUAUUUUGAGCUCUAGAGCUGAUAGCACUGUAAAUAAUAUGCUCAUCAAGUGAAAACUUUUAAAGAUUUCUGUAUUUCGAAGGGAUUUCCCUGUGAUCCAGCACAUUCCAUUCACGUCGCCAUGUAUUUAUCGAACUUAAUAGACAGUGGAAAAUCGGACAGCGUAAUUAUGGCAGCUUUUUAUGGAAUUAAAUGGUACCAUAGUAUUAACGACUUCCAGGAUCCAACGGAGAACGUAGUGGUGAAAUCUAUGCUAGAAUGUGCAAAACGGUUGAACUCUAAACCCACAACGAAAAAGGAUGUAAUUACUACAGAACAUUUAAUAGAGCUUUGUAAUAUGUUUUCAGAAUCUACGGAUGUUAUCGUACUCCGCGAUCUGACAAUGAUUUUGUUAAGUUACGCAGGUUUUUUGCGUUUUGAUGAAGUUAGUGAAUUACGUUGUAGUGAUAUUGAUAUCAAGGACAGAUACAUAUCUUUGUUUAUUAAGAAAAGUAAAACUGACAUAUACAGGGGUGGUAAAGAAGUACUUAUUUCUAGCGGUGAAACGUCGGCUUGUCCAGUUGCUAUGUUGCAAAGAUAUUUACAUUGUUCAAGUAUGCAUUUAAAAUCAGACUCGUAUCUUUUUAGACCUGCAUGCAGGUCCGGCCACAAAUGUUUUUUAAUUGAUAAAGAAAAAAAGCUUAGUUACACUCGAUCAAAAGAAUGUAUUGUGUCUAAGUUAAAGCUAGUUGCGCCUAAUUUGCGUUUAGGAACACAUUCGUUGAGAGCUAGUGGUGCCACCACUGCCGCCAAUGCUGAAGGCGUUUCAGAUAGAUGUCUAAAGCGACACGGUCGCUGGAAGUCUGAUUUGGCCAAAGAUGGUUACAUAGAUGAUUCAUUAGAGAAAAAGCUUUUUAUUACAAAACAGUUAAAGUUAUGAGUACAUAUAUUGUUUAAGGAAAA